rnacentral:rRNA from 1 species
UAUCCGAUUCCUACGAGGAGGCAGCAGUAGGGAAUCUUCCGCAAUGGACGAAAGUCUGACGGAGCAACGCCGCGUGAGCGAAGAAGGCCUUCGGGUCGUAAAGCUCUGUUGUUAGGGAAGAACAAGUACGAGAGUAACUGCUCGUACCUUGACGGUACCUAACCAGAAAGCCACGGCUAACUACGUGCCAGCAGCCGCGGUAAUACGUAGGUGGCAAGCGUUGUCCGGAAUUAUUGGGCGUAAAGCGCGCGCAGGCGGUCCUUUAAGUCUGAUGUGAAAGCCCACGGCUCAACCGUGGAGGGUCAUUGGAAACUGGGGGACUUGAGUGCAGAAGAGGAGAGUGGAAUUCCACGUGUAGCGGUGAAAUGCGUAGAGAUGUGGAGGAACACCAGUGGCGAAGGCAACUCUUUGGUCUGUAACUGACGCUGAGGGGCGAAAGCGUGGGGAGCAAACAGGAUUAGAUACCCUGGUAGUCCACGCCGUACACGAUAAUUGCUAAGUGUUAGAGGGUUUCCGCCCUUUACUGCUGCAGCUAACUUAAGCACUCCGCCUGGGGAGUACGGCCGCAAGGCUGAAACUCAAAGGAAUUGUCGUGGGCCCGCACAGCGGCGGAGCAUGUGGUCUAAUUUGAACCAAACGAAGAACCUUCAUGGCCUUGACAUGCGAGAACUUUCCCAUAGACCGAUGGGUUCCUCGGGAACUCAGACACAGUUGCUGCAUGGCGGUGUUAGCUCUUUUCUUUAGAUGUUGGGUUUAGUCCCGUAACGAAGGCAACCCUUGUCCUUAGUUACCAGCAUGUUAUUGUGGGCACUCUAAGGAGACUGCCGGUGACAAACCGCAAGAAUUCGGGGAAAGACUUCAACCCUUCUUGCCCCUCCGGCCCAGGGCAACAAAUUUGCUACAAUGUUCGGUACAAAGGGUUGCCAAGCCGCGAGGUGGAGCUAAUCCCAUAAAACCGAUCGUAGUCCGGAUCGCAGUCUGCAACUCGACUGCGUGAAGUCGGAAUCGCUAGUAAUCGCAAAUCAAUCCAUAUGGCUUUCACA